UGAGGUGAGAAAUAAGCCCAUGUUGGCAUCCUUGGCAUCCUUCAGGAAGACCUGAAGUGAGAGCCUUGGAAAGUCAGGAUCCAGCAGGAGGACAUUUUGCUCUCUUGAGUAUUUGCUGUCAAGUAUCCAGAUGCAGAAGUCUUACUUCCUGCUUUUCUAUGACAUCAUCCUUCAGAAGGCGGGGCAUAGGCAAGAACAUGAUAAAGGUGUCAAUAUAGUUAUUGGGAAUUGAAGAUGAUUUACAAUUCUAAAUUUUCUGACAUUCUAGGAAUAGUGAAGACCGAAGGGCUCUUAGAUGUCAAUAAUCUUUUAGUACUCACCACCACCACCCUGGCCACAAAAGAGUAAAUCAGAGAAAAUUGUAGGGCCAUUGUUUACAGGCAUAGCAAUGGCCUAGGCGCUGCCACAGAAGAGUUCUGCUUGAUAGCACUGUACCAUCUUGGCUCCUGACCGGAACACACUCAGAUCCUUCUUGCCUAUGUGAGGUGAUCACAGAGAAUGGGACACAAGUGAACGAAGGAGCCCAAAACUGGCAGAUACACAAGCAAGAGAUGUUGAGCAGCAGCCAUGCCAAAGAGAAAGCUGCACAGAACCAGAGACAGAGAAGGAGAGAGAUUUACUGUAUCAGA